UACGGAGGAGGCAAGCGUUAUCCGGAAUUAUUGGGCGUAAAGCGUCCGCAGGUGGCGACUCAAGUCUGCGGUCAAAGACUGGGGCUUAACCCUGGAAAGGCCGUGGAAACUGAAUAGCUAGAGUGCAGUAGGGGUAGAGGGAAUUCCCGGUGUAGCGGUGAAAUGCGUAGAGCUCGGGAAGAACAUCGGUGGCGAAAGCGCUCUGCUGGACUGCAACUGACACUCAGGGACGAAAGCUAGGGGAGCGAAUGGG
rnacentral:rRNA from 1 species